UUUGUAACCCAGCCAUUGCAACGGAAGGACAUGUAAACCGCAACAACUCCGCUUAAAACAACUUUUCCAACGUCAACAUUCAUCAGUACACAAACCGGAAUCCAUCAAUCAAAAUGAACAAUAUUCUAAUAAUAUUGAGCAUUUGCACAAUUAUCGCCACAGUUCUCGGUACGCCGCAGUGUGGAUGUAGAUGCGGAUGUUGCUCUUGCUGUGGUGGUGGAGCGGGUGGACAGGCAGCAGAUCCAUAUGCAGCGGAUCCGGAGUCGGAUUUGGAGCGACGAUUCAAUUUUGCCGGGAUAGGACGGGCAAUUGCCAAAGGACUGGGAAAGGCCGGAAAGGGUGCUGAAGCGAUUGGUCAUGUGGCUGACACCGCCAGUGACAUCGCAGAAAUUGUCGAUAUAGCGACCGGUGGCGGUGAAAAAUAGAAAAGAAGAUCGUUGAAUUUUUUGUUUUUUUUUUCUCAUCACAAAACAAUAAAGUGAGUUAUUAUAUUA